GAUUCAAAGGUCUAAAUAAAGUUAGUCUAUUCCUAUUCAGCAUCCGGCAUCUGCAAGACAAAGCUAUAUAUCAUUGCUUUUCAAUUUAAUCCAUCGUCUCUUUAAUUUCAUCUUCUUACAUUUUCUAUUUCUUAGUCUGCUUGGUUGCAGAACGAAGAUAAUUCCGCAACUGAUUCGAUAAUCGGAUUUCGUCUUUCAGUUUCUAGAAAUUGAAUUAUCAAUUAUUUAAGUUUAUUAGCGACAAACAGCGCGUUUGUUCAAUUGGCAAAGAUGACUAAAAGUACCUUCAAGAUAGAGCAUGAUUUUCAAAAAAGACGUGCCGAGGCUGAAAGAAUUAGAGAGAAAUAUCCAGAUAGAAUUCCUGGGAGAAAUUAGCUUUAGCUUUUAUUUUUUAUUUUUUGUCCCAAUUAUAUUUUAGUGCAAUCCUAUGUUGAUAUGUUAAUUGUCGUUGUU